CGACGAUCCCAGACCCAACCAUCAUUGAUUAGUCUCUAAGUUUCCUUGUAUGCUUCAAAUCAAUAUGAAAAACAAAUAUUCGAACGUUAUAGUCGUCUCCAACAUCAAAUUUUCAACUAAACCAAUGUUUAAGCAAAGCCCAAGAAUUAAGAAGCUUGGAAUAUACUGUGCGUUUUUAUGGCGCGACAUACGAUUAACAAAAAUUACAAAAUGUAAAAUAUUACUAUUGAUUAUAAAUAUCUAUUGCUCUA